rnacentral:lncRNA from 1 species
AGAAACCCAAGGCCUGGUGUUACAUGUCCAACUAAAGUGCCCAUUUCCAAUUGCUUGGUUUGUGUUGGAGAGAGAGAGAGAGAGAGGUUUUUUAUGUAGUUGGUGUUGUUUAAGCCUAGAGAGAGAGAGAGAGAGAGAGAGAGGUUUUUGAUGUUGUUGGUGUUGUUUAAGCCGAGAGAGAGAGAGAGAGAGAGAGAGAGAGAGAGAGAGAGAGAGAGAGAGAGAGAGAGGUUGCUUAUGUUGUUGGUGUUGAUUAAGCCUAAAGGGAAAGAAAGGGAGGGAGGGAGGGCGAGAGAGAGAGAGGUUGUUUAUGUUGUUGGUGUUGUUUAAGCCUAAAGGGAAAAUAAGGGAGGGUGAUGGAGAAGGGUGGCAAAUGAGAGAGGGAUUUUAAAGAGUUCAGGGAGGGGAAUGGGGGUGAAAUCCUAAGAAGUCUAAAGGCUUCCAAGCUUAGGAGAAGU